UACGUAGGUGACAAGCGUUGUCCGGAUUUACUGGGCGUAAAGAGCGCGCAGGCGGUCGUUCAAGUCGAGUGUGAAAGCCCCCGGCUCAACUGGGGAGGGUCAUUCGAUACUGAUCGACUCGAAGGCAGGAGAGGGAAGUGGAAUUCCCGGUGUAGUGGUGAAAUGCGUAGAUAUCGGGAGGAAGACCAGUGGCGAAGGCGGCAUCCUGGACCGACAUUGACGCUGAGGAGCGAAAGCCAGGGGAGCAAACGGG
rnacentral:rRNA from 1 species